GGGUGGGCCCUCAGUGAAGACUUCAGGACACUUAGAUCUUCACUGAUGGGACCACCCAC
rnacentral:miRNA from 1 species